UUUUCCAUGAUUUUUUGUGGUUUUUUUUUAAAUUACCAAAUUACUCCACAUAAUAAUGCCCUACACAUAUCGCCUUUUUCUUUUCACCACAGCCGCCAAUAUCAAGUUCUCCACAGCUACCUCCGGCUCCUAGUUCCGGCUCCCAGUUCCGGCGCUAAGAUGUGGCACGACACGAGAGAGGCUACGGAUAAUGAAAUAGAUGUUUUGUUGAUGACGUUGAUGCCGAAGUUUUUUAGAGAGUUAAGUAUCUCGUUAGAUUAGCUUAUGUAGUUUAUUUAUACAAUUUAACGUAGUUUGUUAUGCAUCCAACAAAUGUUUGUAAUUUGACGGGUUUAUUUCCGAAUUGGAUGUCUAUGGGUUUAUUUCCGAUUUGAAUGUGUAUUGUUUUGGUUUGAUUUGAAAAUGUUCCAUUGGUAA